rnacentral:rRNA from 1 species
AGAUGUGUAUAAGAGACAGCUAUACGGAGUUACAAAGGACGACAUUAGACGAAUCAUCUGGAAAGAUGAAUCAAAGAAGGUAAUAAUCCUGUAGUCGAAAAUGUUGUCUCUCUUGAGUGGAUCCUGAGUACGACGGAGCACGUGAAAUUCCGUCGGAAUCUGGGAGGACCAUCUCCUAAGGCUAAAUACUCUCUAGUGACCGAUAGUGAACCAGUACCGUGAGGGAAAGGUGAAAAGCACCCCGGAAGGGGAGUGAAAUAGAACCUGAAACCGUGUGCUUACAAGUAGUCAGAGCCCGUUAAUGGGUGAUGGCGUGCCUUUUGUAGAAUGAACCGGCGAGUUACGAUUUGAUGCAAGGUUAAGCAGUAAAUGUGGAGCCGUAGCGAAAGCGAGUCUGAAUAGGGCGUUUAGUAUUUGGUCGUAGACCCGAAACCAGGUGAUCUACCCUUGGUCAGGUUGAAGUUCAGGUAACACUGAAUGGAGGACCGAACCGACUUACGUUGAAAAGUGAGCGGAUGAACUGAGGGUAGCGGAGAAAUUCCAAUCGAACCUGGAGAUAGCUGGUUCUCUCCGAAAUAGCUUUAGGGCUAGCCUCAAGUGAUGAUUAUUGGAGGUAGAGCACUGUUUGGACGAGGGGCCCCUCUCGGGUUACCGAAUUCAGACAAACUCCGAAUGCCAAUUAAUUUAACUUGGGAGUCAGAACAUGGGUGAUAAGGUCCGUGUUCGAAAGGGAAACAGCCCAGACCACCAGCUAAGGUCCCAAAAUAUAUGUUAAGUGGAAAAGGAUGUGGCGUUGCCCAGACAACUAGGAUGUUGGCUUAGAAGCAGCCAUCAUUUAAAGAGUGCGUAAUAGCUCACUAGUC